rnacentral:rRNA from 1 species
AUGAUGACCAUCAUGCGAGUCAGGACUGGCCUAUUCCGGGACUCUGACUUCCGGUAUAUGCCAGCAUCACUUCCAGGAGCACAAGGUUAUCUCCAGGCUAUCUAUGCUGACUCCACUCAGGAGGAUUCAUGGACCCGCACCACUGCACAGUUGCUUGAAGACAAGGACCGUGAAAAUCGAGCCUUGAGACUAGAGCUUUUCAAUACCCGUGCUGAUCAUUGGGCCACUUUGACUCGGUUUGCACCGGCUGUGCACGCUGGAUACAUGGAUAUGCGAGAUCUCUAUCCUGUGAGAUCUGCUCUGCCAGACGUGAUGGAUUGGCGUGAUGUAGGAGGCAUCACCCCACCUCGUGGUCCCCGUAGACCACCAUUUGUUGGUCCAAGACCUCAUCCUAGCCCUUAUGGUCCACAAGCUCCACGGGACCGACUGUUUCUGGAUGAUCACGUUGAGCUUCCAGGCUAUGGAGGUGACUUCUAUGAAGACUACUAUGGAGCUGUCUGA